UCGUAUGCUUUUUGUGUUUGUGUUGAAUAGCCUGACGAAUUUCCAAUUAGGCACACACCUGUUUUUCAACUCGCUUGAAAAACCUAAGCAAAGUAAAGUCAGUCUUCGAAAUCAUGCACUUGAGCUACCUGCCAAUACUCACCGCCCUGUUUUUCCACCCACAAGCCGACGGCAGCGCUGUCAGUCGCCUCCCACAGUGGGUGGUACCGCUUCACUAUAGCGUUGAUAUCGUGACGCGUAUCAAUCAACCCUAUCAACCAUUCGGCGGCACUGUGGUUAUUGAUCUACGGUCGGAGAGAUCCACCAAUAAAAUAGUGCUAAAUGCCCACGAUUUGGCUAUUGGCAAGCAAAGGGCGGUGACCCUGUCCAUCAAGGAUGGCAACUCGGUGCCGAUUAGCAGCAUAAAGAUGGACAUUAAACUUAGUCGGCUGACGGUGUACGUGAAGAGAUCUCUGCAGAUCAACAUCACGUACUCAUUGCGGGUGGCAUUUACUAGUGUUUUGAGAGGUGACAACACGGGUUUCUAUAGCAGCAACUAUGUGGAUCAUAAUACCACUUUAACCCAAUGGCUGGCGGCCACCCAAUUCGAACCGAACCACGCCCGCGAGGCAUUCCCCUGCUUCGAUGAUCCCAUAUUCCGGACACCCUUCAAGAUCAAUCUGGCCCAUCCGCAUAUGUAUCGCGCUCUGUCCAACAUGCCCGUCCAGCGGACCAUUCGCCACGCCAACCUGAAGGACUUUGUGUGGACGCAGUUCGUCGAGAGCCAUCCAAUGCAGACGUACCUGGUGGCCUUCGUGAUCGGCAAGUUCGACAGGCCGGGCUUCACCUCCAGCGAGCGACCGGAUUGUCCCAUUAGCACGUGGGCUCGUCCGGAUGCACUGUCGCAAACGAAGUUCGCCAACAUGGUGGUGGCACCGUUGCUCUCCUUCUACGAGGAGCUCUUCAACAGUACCUAUCGGCCGAAGAAGAUCGAUUUGGUGGCACUGCCCGAUUACGCCUUUAAGUCGAAGGAGAGCUGGGGCAUGCCCACCUUCACGGAGGAAUCCCUAUUGUACGAUAGCCAGCGGAGUUCCAUGGACGAUCAACAGGGCGUGGCACGGGCGGUGGCCAUGAUGGUGGUGAAUCAGUGGUUUGGCAACCUGGUCUCCAUACCCUGGUGGCAUGAGAUCUGGCUGAAGAACGCCUUUGCGCUGUAUCUCUCGCGUUUUGGUGUGCACACACUGCGUCCGGAGUGGGAUUACCAGGAGCGGCACGCCCUGAAGCUAUACCUCUCCGUCCUCGACUACGAUGCCCAUGUGAACACGGAUCUGGUGACGGCAUCCGUGCCCGAUGAGAGCCAAAUUUGGGCGGCGUACAAUGAGAUUGGGGAGCGCAAGGCGGCCGUGCUCUUCGAGAUGCUGCACCGCGUCAUGGGCGAAGGGGCGUGGCUGACGGCAUUGCGUCGCUAUCUGGUGAUCUAUGCCAAUCGCACCGCCACAUCCGCCGACUUUUGGAACCUAUUGCAACUGCAGGUGGAUCGCAAUGGACGCCUGGGCAAGGGCCUGAAUAUCACGAGGAUCAUGAAUUGCUGGCUAGGGCAACCGGGUUAUCCACUGCUCACCGUCACCCGGAACUACGAGCAUCGUACGGCUGUCGUGAGUCAACAGCGUUUCUUCAUCACUCCGCAGUUCCGGAACCGCUGGUCAAUGCAUCCCUGCUGGUGGGUUCCGCUCAGCUAUACGUGCCCCAGUUGCCAAAACUCGGAUAGCAGCUCCUCCAUCAGCCGCUGGCUCACCUGUCCGAUCUCUAAGGCUUCGGGUAGAUCCAGUAGCGUUCUACUGGACAGACUGGAGUCGGGGCCCAACGACUGGAUACUGAUCAACGUGCAACACUCGGCUCCAGUUCGCGUGAACUAUGACCCCUACAACUGGCAGCUGCUGAACAAAACGCUCGCUGAUCCCAUAAAGUUUCGCCUCAUCCAUCGUGUUAACCGCGCCCAGCUGGUCGACGAUCUAUUUAGUUUGGCCUGGAGCGGCGAUAUCGAGUAUGACAUGGCCCUGGGCAUACUCGGCUAUCUGGAGCACGAGGACGAAUUCGUGGUCUGGGCAGCCACCGAGACCAACUUCGAGCGCAUCAACAACGUGGCCAAGAGGAGCCCAAACUAUCUGAUCUAUAAGACCUUCAUGCGUCACCUGCUGGAGCAGCAGUUCAAGCGGUUGCUAUCCUCGGACAUGACCAGCUCCUUGGGGAACAUGACCCAUCGCGCCGUCAUCAUCAGGCUGGCCUGCGAGUACGAGCUGCCCGCCUGUGUGAGUCUCGCUCGUCGGGAAUUCAUGAGGGGAACGCCGACGGUGGACGGAUGGAUGACCAUCCGCGAGCGGGAAACGGUCGUCUGCACGGCGGUCAAGUUUGGCACGGAAGGCGACCGUGAUACCGUGGAAUCGAUGUACAAGCGCUCCAACUUUGCCGCCGAGAAGGAAUCGCUAUUGACCGCUUUGGCCUGUUCGCGGAAUGUCUUCGCCCUGCAAAAGGUCCUCAUAUGGACAUUUGAGAGCUCGGGUGUGCGAAAGCAAAACGCCAGGCGAACCUUCAAGGCUGUGGUCUCCAACUCCAUGGGCUAUCGCUUGGCCAAGAAGUACGUGUCCGCCAACAUGCAAAGCAUACGCAACUUUUGUAGCAACUCCACCGACAAGGUUGUUAAUCUCAUGAGACCGCUGAUCGAAUGCAUGUCCACUCCGAAGGAUAUGCUCUUCUUUAGCAAGUUCUUCAAGGAGAUCCUGCGCGACAUGAACGGCAGUGACCGGCUCAUCAAGAUCCUGCUGGAACGGGGCAACGAUAACAUCCACUGGCGGCGCACCAAGUUCAGCCCCAUGUUGCAGGCCAUUCGGGACAUAAUCCUUUGGCGAAGUCGGUCCAAUUCGAAAAACAUAUAAAAGGGCAUUGAUUGCAAUAGAAACACAAUUAAUGGUCCAAAUGUUAAAUGUCGUAAUUCGAUAAUCAGGCAAGACUUCGAGUUACUAAUUCAGCAAUUUAGCUGUUACAAGGACCCAAUUGACCUGUUGCCCAGGACCUGGCA
rnacentral:misc_RNA from 1 species